GGACCUGUAGCUCAGCUGGUUAGAGCGCACGCCUGAUAAGCGUGAGGUCGAUGGUUCAAGUCCAUUCAGGUCCACCA
rnacentral:tRNA from 1 species